rnacentral:misc_RNA from 1 species
CCGAGUUAGGGUUUGCCUUUUUAGGUGCCCGACCUCCCAACCCUUUGUCUAUGAUACCUAUUGUUGCUUCGGCGCGCCCGAGGGGUCGUACCCUCGCCUGGACUCGUGCCGGGAGCGUGGCCGCCGAUGGCCCAAUUUAAAACUAUUGAACCCAAAACCUGUCGUCUGAAAACGUUAUGAUUUAUAAUCAAAAACUA